rnacentral:tRNA from 1 species
GAGGGUAUAGCUCAGUGGUAGGGCAUGUGCUUCGCGUGCACGAGGUCCUAGGUUCAAUCCCCAGUAUUUCCA